CAUUCAUAACAAGGAGUUAAGGUUUAAGGAAAAAUAAACAAAGAGGCAAUAAAACAGAUAAGCUGAAGAGGAAGUAAGAUGCAAGUCCUAGUAUAUAAACCUCGAUGACUCCACGUCUCCUGUCAAUGGUGCGCUGGACAACAUAGUCCUUUGAAGUGUGUCCUUUCCUAAAGGAAUGGAAUGUCCUAGGAAAGGGGCUCCCCGUAUCUGAAGAAGCCUUUGAUUCCUGAUUAUUUAACAAAACAAAAAGAAGCAAUGAUAUCCUCAGCAGAACCCUAGCAGGUAAUAAAA